CACACCGCCGAUUACAUGGAGAGAGAACGAUGAGAGAGAUCAGAAAGGAGAGAGAGAACGGUGUGUGUCGGAACGGCGGCGUUGCCUAUCACUGGUGGUGUGGUGGUGACUAGAGAAAUUAUCAGUGUGUGGUGGUGCCGGAUUCACGGUGCGGUUCCGGUGGUGACGGAAUCAGGGUGCGGUUCCGGUGGUGAUUAGCGGCGUAGAGAAGAUGCUAGGGUUCCGGUGAAGGUCGGGCAAAAUUACGGUACCACGGGUGUCGGGAUCAACAUGAACAGACGACACCACGGGUGUCGGGAUCUCUGCCGGUGAGAGAUCUGAAAGUUUUAGGGUUCCGACGAGUCAGCUUAGCUCCGGUGAGAACCUGCUUUCCUGAACCAGGGAAGAUUGUUUUCGUUGUGUCAUUCAAUGGAUACUUCUUGCCAAGUUUUUAGAAGAGGAGGGAUGGUCAUCCGGCGGUAUGAUGGUGAGUUUGCGGGUUCCGGCGAGGCAGUGAUUGACCAAGAUAAUUUGAAAACUUUCUGUGGUCAUAAAGUAUAGAUGUGGAACUCCAGGAACUGCCAAGAAGAAAGGAAUAACAUGAUCAGGAACAUACAUUCAAGAACUGAAGUGUUCGUAGUAAUUAAGAUCGUCGUAGAGUAUUAUUGGCGACAUAUCAUGUGAUUACACCAAGAAUGAUUUGGUUUAGCAUGAUCGUGUUAUGAGUUGUGAUGUCAAACGUACACACCAAGAAUGAUUAAGUUUAGCAUCAUUGUGUUAUGAGUUGUGAUGUAAAGCGUACACACUAAGAAUGAUUGAUCCGGUUUAGCAAAGAAUGAUUUGGUUGAGUGCGCCGUAACGCGGCGCUGCG
rnacentral:lncRNA from 1 species